CUCCUACGGGAGGCAGCAGUGGGGAAUAUUGGACAAUGGGCGAAAGCCUGAUCCAGCCAUGCCGCGUGUGUGAAGAAGGCCUUUUGGUUGUAAAGCACUUUAAGCGAGGAGGAGGCUACUUGGAUUAAUACUCUAGGAUAGUGGACGUUACUCGCAGAAUAAGCACCGGCUAACUCUGUGCCAGCAGCCGCGGUAAUACAGAGGGUGCGAGCGUUAAUCGGAUUUACUGGGCGUAAAGCGUGCGUAGGCAGCUUUUUAAGUCGGAUGUGAAAUCCCUGAGCUUAACUUAGGAAUUGCAUUCGAUACUGGGAAGCUAGAGUAUGGGAGAGGAUGGUAGAAUUCCAGGUGUAGCGGUGAAAUGCGUAGAGAUCUGGAGGAAUACCGAUGGCGAAGGCAGCCAUCUGGCCUAAUACUGACGCUGAGGUACGAAAGCAUGGGGAGCAAACAGGAUUAGAUACCCUGGUAGUCCAUGCCGUAAACGAUGUCUACUAGCCGUUGGGGCCUUUGAGGCUUUAGUGGCGCAGCUAACGCGAUAAGUAGACCGCCUGGGGAGUACGGUCGCAAGACUAAAACUCAAAUGAAUUGACGGGGGCCCGCACAAGCGGUGGAGCAUGUGGUUUAAUUCGAUGCAACGCGAAGAACCUUACCUGGUCUUGACAUAGUAAGAACUUUCCAGAGAUGGAUUGGUGCCUUCGGGAACUUACAUACAGGUGCUGCAUGGCUGUCGUCAGCUCGUGUCGUGAGAUGUUGGGUUAAGUCCCGCAACGAGCGCAACCCUUAUUGUUAGUUGCCAUCAUUUAGUUGGGCACUCUAGCAAGACUGCCGGUGACAAACCGGAGGAAGGUGGGGAUGACGUCAAAUCAUCAUGCCCCUUAUGACCUGGGCUACACACGUGCUACAAUGGGAAGUACAACGAGUCGCGAAGUCGCGAGGCUAAGCUAAUCUCUUAAAGCUUCUCUCAGUUCGGAUUGUAGGCUGCAACUCGCCUACAUGAAGCCGGAAUCGCUAGUAAUCGCGGAUCAGCACGCCGCGGUGAAUACGUUCCCGGGCCUUGUACACACCGCCCGU
rnacentral:rRNA from 1 species